GCGAGAGUGGCGGAAUUGGCAGACGCACCAGAUUUAGGUUCUGGCGGGGAAACCCGUGCGGGUUCGACUCCCGCCUCUCGCA
rnacentral:tRNA from 1 species